GGGGGUGAGAAGUUUCGACAGAAAUUUUUUGUCAAAAUAGGCAGAUUGAGUUUACUAGAAACUCAUUAAACUUCUAGCAAAAAAUAAGUGCCAACUUAUUCAACAAACCCGCUUUAGCUUUUGCCUAAAGCCAUCUCCAUUAGUGAUUCUCGAUAGCUAAAGGUAGGUGUCAUAUCAUCGAGAUAGGUAGUUCUUUUUGUCUCGAAAACUAUCGAAAAAAAGAGACAAAUAGUGGUACUAGAUUUGUCUGUCGGUCUAGUAUUCCAAACUAAGACAGACUAAAUCUGUAGAAAUAUUUUGGCAAAGUUUCUGGAUCGGAGUUCAAAGCUCCGCACCUCCACAA
rnacentral:tmRNA from 5 species